AGAGAUGUGUGAUGACGCAUAUCAAUAAGCGGAGGAAAAGAAACUAACAAGGAUUCCCUUAGUAACGGCGAGUGAAGCGGGAAGAGCUCAAAUUUGAAAUCUUCAAGGUUCUACCUUGACGAAAUUGUAGUUUAUAAGAAGUGUUUUCUGUUGGAGUUGGCUAAAAGUUCUUUGGAAUAGGACAUCAUAGAGGGUGAGAAUCCCGUAUUUGGUCAUUCUCUCCUAGCUUUGUGAUACACUUUCAACGAGUCGGAUUGUUUGGGAAUGCAGUCCAAAAUGGGUGGUAAAUUUCAUCUAAAGCUAAAUAUUGGCGAGAGACCGAUAGCGAACAAGUACCGUGAGGGAAAGAUGAAAAGAACUUUGAAAAGAGAGUUAAACAGUACGUGAAAUUGUCAAAAGGGAAGCGUUUGACACCAGUGUUGUUUUUCCGAAAAUCAAUUACGAAUGUUUUGUUUUUGAGGAGUUAUGACUUCAUCGGCUUGCUUCUUUCUUUACGAAACUUUCUUAAUGCACUUUUCGGUUAACAAGUCAACAUCAAUUUCUUUUGUUGUAAAAGGGUAUGAGGAAGGUGGCUUUCUUUUCGGAGAAAGUGUUUAUAGCCUUGUGCCUCUGCAAUCGGAGAGAUUGAGGUCUGCAGCGUAGAUCCUUCGGGGUUAGAUACGUUUGUGCUAAGUUAUAGCUUUUCAUAGACAACUUGUUGACUAUGAUUCAGUCAUUGUAGCUUACUCGCUUACUGCUAUUUUACCUACGCUUAGGAUGUUGAGUAGCGACAUACGCAC
rnacentral:rRNA from 1 species